rnacentral:rRNA from 1 species
UAGGGAAUCUUCCACAAUGGGCGCAAGCCUGAUGGAGCAACACCGCGUGAGUGAAGAAGGGUUUCGGCUCGUAAAGCUCUGUUGUUAAAGAAGAACAGCUAGAAUAGGAAAUGAUUUUAGUUUGACGGUACCAUACCAGAAAGGGACGGCUAAAUACGUGCCAG